UUAAGUUCAGCGGGUAUCCCUACCUGAUCCGAGGUCAAACUAUAGAGGGCUUGCUGGACGCUGAUCCACCAUGGCUUCAAGAAGCGCAAAUGUGCUGCGCUAGAAGCUGGCACGACCGCUGCCAAUAGCUUUAGGGCGAGUCCGCACACCGAGGCGGGACAGACGCCCAACACCAAGCAGAGCUUGAGGGUGUAAAUGAC
rnacentral:misc_RNA from 1 species